rnacentral:lncRNA from 1 species
CUCAGUGUCUCGACCUUGAUGCCUGGAAAAGCCUGGACCCCUGUUUUGUGCUGAGGAUGUCUUCUCCCCUUAAACCAGGAUUGAUUCUGGAGUGUAAGUCAGCAAUAUGAACUUGAUGCUCAUUUUGGCCUAAAGAUGGAGUCAUGAUCUGUCCCAGGCUGAAGUACAGUGGCACGAUCAUAGCUCACUGCAGCCUCAAAGGCCUGGGCUCAACGGAUCCUUCCUCCUCAGCCUCUUGAAUAGCAGAUUUUAUACACAUCUGCAAAGUCUUUGGCCCUAUCCACCCUUCCUCUUGACUCUGCACUGGCCUUAGGCACACUGCAUGACUUUCCAGGCUGGGCCAAUAAAAGCCAUGCAGCUUCCAUUUGGUUCUCUUUGGUUGCUUGUUCAUCCCUCUGGAGAUGUUUCUUAUGAGAACCCAGAAGCCAUGCUAUAAGAAGCCACAAGGAGAGGCCAUGUAUAGAAACUCCAGUCAACAGUUCCAGAUGAACCUGUCCUUCAACACUCAGAGCCAAGCUGCCAGACAUCCCAGAACUGAGCCCAAGACUCAGGACAUGGUCGGAAUUCAGUAAGAUGCUUACUUCCUUAAUUUUGGACAGUCUUCUGAUAAUGCAGCAAACUAUCGUGGAAAGUGGUUCUGUAGCUGCGUCACACACUAGGUCCCUAUUGGGCUUUGUGAACGAUGAAAACUAUUCCGAAAUCUGUUUCUUGUGAGUUUUUGCCAAAUCCAAGCUUGUCUUUAGACCAAUUGAUUCUUUUUUGGGGGGAGUGUUAUUCUAAAUUCAAGGCUUUAUUUACAUUUAAAUUAUAUUUUACAUUUUUUCUAAUCUUUUCAUAUUUUAGAUAUGCAUGUGAAUAUAUAUAUAUAUAUAAUAUAAAAUUGUGAUUAACGGUAUAAGCUUUAGAGUCAGAAUGAACUAGGCUGAAAACUGAGCAACCUCACCUACUAGUAAUAUGACCUUGAAUAAGGUGUUUUACCCCAGAGAGCCUCAGUUUAUCAUGUGUAAAAGGGGGGUAAUAACACCAGAUAAUACAGAGAUUUGUUAGGGAUUGAAGAUUAUGUAUAUAUAUACACAUAUACAUAAAGUCUAUAGUAUAAUACCUGACACAGAGUAAUCAUUCCA